rnacentral:lncRNA from 1 species
UCUCUAUUAUGAUUAUAGCAAAACCUACAAACCAUUCCCUAUUACAGUAAUGAUAUCAUAAAGUUCAUCUACUAGAUACUGUCUUGCAAAAACUUAGGUAUAAGAAAUAGAAGGUAUGUUACAAAAACGCAGAUGAAUCAAUAAAACUGUUGAGGUUAUCAAAUUCUUACACUGAAAUUCUUACAAGGAGAGCAGCAAGUGAUGUUAUAUUUGAAAAGCAGUUGGUUUUUCUGCAAUGAAGGCAGCAAGGA